GAUGAACGCUAGCUACAGGCUUAACACAUGCAAGUCGAGGGACCGGCGCACGGGUGAGUAACACGUAUCCAACCUGCCCUUUACUCGGGGAUAGCCUUUCGAAAGAAAGAUUAAUACCCGACGUAAAGGAGGGGGAUGCGUUCCAUUAGGUUGUUGGUGAGGUAACGGCUCACCAAGCCUUCGAUGGAUAGGGGUUCUGAGAGGAAGUUCCCCACCAGUGGAACUGAGACACGGUCCAAACGCCUAGGGGAGGCAGCAGUGCGGAAGAUCGGAAAAUGGGCUUUAGCCUGAACCAGCCAAGUAGCGUGAAGGAUGAAUGCUUAUUGGUCGUAAACUUCUUUUAUAUAAGAAUAUGUAUCAUAUGAAUAAGGAGCGGCUAAAUCCGUGCCAGCAGCCACGGUAAUAC
rnacentral:rRNA from 1 species